GCUUCUCCGAGUGAGCGAGGCUGCCUGGGGGGUCCCGCGGUCUCCCGGCCGUCGCCUUCCCACUGCUGGAGACAGCGCAACGGCGGGCGCACCCUGCAUUCAGGUGGCAGUAUCGAAGCCAAAAGCUUCCAGAAGUGGUUUCUAAAAAAGAAGACUUGAAUGUACAUGAGUAAGCAAACACAGGAAUCCAGAAAAUCCACAGGCUAUAGAAAUGUGUACAACAUUGCUGUGACGGGAGCAACAGCAUAGAGCAUGCCAAGAUCUAGCAAGCAAUUUGAAGUCUCAAGAGGAAGGCUUAGCCUAGAAGAAGGACCAUGGAGAUGAUGCUCUGUACAAAUCCAAUCCAGCAGAUUCACUCUCUGGCAAUGAACAGG